CCAAGGAGUCUAACAUGUGCGCGAGUCGUCGGGUCUUGAAUAGGCCCGCAGGCGCAAUGAAAGUGAAGGGCGACCUUGUCGUCGUCUGCGUUGGGAUCCCCAGUCCACCGAGUCUGGGGCGCACCAACGGCCCGUCCCGUCCGCAGCGUCGGUGGGACGGAGCGAGAGCGUACACGUUGGGACCCGAAAGAUGGUGAACUAUGCCUGGGCAGGACGAGGCCAGAGGAAACUCUGGUGGAGGUCCGCAGCGAUUCUGACGUGCAAAUCGAUCGUCAGACCUGGGUAUAGGGGCGAAAGACUAAUCGAACCGUCUAGUAGCUGGUUCCCUCCGAAGUUUCCCUCAGGAUAGCUGGCGCUCGAGGGAGUCAGUCUCAUCCGGUAAAGCGAAUGAUUAGAGGCCUUGGGGCCGAAACGACCUCAACCUAUUCUCAAACUUUCAAUGGGUGAGAAGUCCGGUUUACAUGACUGAAGCCCGGACAAUUCUCAGGAUGCGAGUGCCCAGUGGGCCACUUUU
rnacentral:rRNA from 1 species